AGAAGGAAAAACCCAACUGGGAGAGCCCAGAUGGGAGAUCUGGGCUCUGCCACCACGGUGCGAGCUGUCAGCAGGCGAGCUGGAGGAGCCAGGAUGCCCUCUGCGAGGUGGAGCUCUCAUUGUCUGCGUGGCAGAGGACGAGAAGGGAAGUCAUCUGCGCCAAAAAUAGCCUCAGGGUUUGGGAAGUGAAACUCUGUUCCUGUGACCUCUCACACCGGUGCUGAUGUGCAGAGCAGCGAAGUCUUUGGCUCCCAAGGGGCUUCUCUUCUGCCCCCUGGGUCCCUCUGCUCCCUCCAGGCACAUCUUCUGGGGCUGCCCUCCCACCCCAGCCCCACCACCCUGCGCUGGAAUCCUCACCGUGGCUCUGCGGACUCUGGCUGGGACAGCACAUCUGUCUGUUGCUAUGGCUGCGGUACCCUGGCAGGGAUGGCUGGAGAAUCACCGCCAGCCUCCCUCCUGCCCGACCUGCUCCCGGACCCCCACCCCCCUGCCCGGGGCCGGCCCCUUCCCAACCCAACUCCGGGCCCUGGGAUCCUACCUCGGGAUGCCGCCUUGGCAACACCUUUUCAUUUGCAUAAUUAAUGAGGCCGCGGCUGCGAGGCUCCUGGGAAAUGCGACGCAGAGCAGCAGGAGGUGGCACGGAGGGCUCCAGCCUUCCCGGGGGCUGCUCGCAGCCGCUCCCCAGCUCCAGGGGGGCUGUUCUCCCCUCUCCGUUAAUUCACCGCCCACCUCUGUCUGAGCAGAUUGCUCUGGGCACAAUCCUGCCGCCCCCCUCCCCCUGCCAGGCCUGCCUGUGCCAAGCAGGAUCUGGCUGGGGUGGUGCUGGUGGGACACAGACAUGCGCUGGUGCCAAGGCCAGAGGCCACCCGCAGCACCCAGGGGAGCUGGGAGGUGCUGGGUCGUGCUGUGGACCACAGGCUCCCCUGGCUUCCCCCUGCUGGGUGGACUGCUGCCAGCAGCGCCGCCAGGACCCUCUGCCCACGCUGCCAUCGCCUGCAGCUCCAUGACUCGCUGCAUCAAGCUGUGUGUGCUGCUUGCCCCUGCAGUGCCAGGGCACCAUCCUGUGCCUGCAGCCGCGGCGCCAGCGCUGUCAAUGUGCUGCCAGUGGCAUGACUAUGGCGACAGCACCGUGACUGCAGCACCAGUGCCAUGACAAGCUGGUACAUCCCUGGGGAUAGACGCUGCCAGAGGAAGGUGGGUGGUUGAUCCACAGGAUGAGCCUCCUGACUGGUCCCUGGUGCCAGCUGCUGCCUGGUGAUCCAGCCAGGAUCCCUGGCAUGUGCUUUGCCAGCAGUGCCCUUCUCCUGGGGCAUUGCACUUCCUCGUAGCUCCUUCCUCUGCUCCCAGGAAGCCAGCCUGCCCCUUGGCCUGCCUGGGACACCCACGUGUCCUUUGUUCCUGGUGUUGAUGCUGCCCUUUUGCCUACUGGCAUUGAGCCCAGCCCUGAAUCCAGGCCUGAGAGUGUUUGAAAACCCAAACCCAGACCCGUGUCCAGUGGGAUGUGCCUGUUCCAGCAGGUCCCACCUCUGAAUUCAGAGACCAGAAACUGAUGCAGAAGAUCUCCUUCCAUCCAGAUCCUGCUGAGCUCUGCUCAGCCAUGACCUUCAGUGCAGCCAUGGUGCAUUUAUUUCUGCCUGCCACCGCGGUGGGGAGGGAAGACUGAGUGCAGCUGGGACCACGAUGAGCACAAACCAUCAGCCAGGACCCUCCACCAGUGCUGCAGGUGCCAGGGUGGACUGUGCAGGACAGGGCUGCCCCUGGCUUUUCCCCUUCUCUCUAACGCAGGCAACCAAUGACAGCACUUCCCUGCAGCCCCUGGCCUCUGUAGAGCACCCUGUGAGCUCCAGCUGGUGGGAGCAUCUCCAGAGUCUGAGCAUCAUGCUGGAGGCUGGUGGAAGGUAGGGCUGUGGGCUGGGGUGGUAGGACUCUUUGUCAGGCACUGCUGCCUCUUUAAAGGAGGAAGGAGGAUGGCACAGAGAGAGAGAGAGAGCUGUGGGCUGCUCCCAGGUCCUGUUUGAUUCUUAUCAGUCCCUGCAUUUUUGUGUAUGAUUCAAUAAAGUCCUUUGCUUGCACAA